rnacentral:rRNA from 1 species
GUGGGGAAUUUUGGACAAUGGGCGCAAGCCUGAUCCAGCAAUGCCGCGUGCAGGAAGAAGGCCUUCGGGUUGUAAACUGCUUUUGUACGGAACGAAACGGUCCUGGUUAAUACCUGGGGCUAAUGACGGUACCGUAAGAAUAAGCACCGGCUAACUACGUGCCAGCAGCCGCGGUAAUACGUAGGGUGCGAGCGUUAAUCGGAAUUACUGGGCGUAAAGCGUGCGCAGGCGGUGCUGUAAGACAGGCGUGAAAUCCCCGGGCUCAAGCUGGGAAUUGCGCUUGUGACUGCAGUGCUGGAGUACGGCAGAGGGGGAUGGAAUUCCGCGUGUAGCAGUGAAAUGCGUAGAUAUGCGGAGGAACACCGAUGGCGAAGGCAGUCCCCUGGGCCUGUACUGACGCUCAUGCACGAAAGCGUGGGGAGCAAACAGGAUUAGAUACCCUUGUAGUCC